rnacentral:misc_RNA from 1 species
GCCGAAUCUGUGUAAGAGGGCGUGCGGCAGCUGCUGCACCAGGUGCAGCUGCGUUCCUCUGGGGACCAAUGGGAACUAUGAUUCCUGCCCCUGCUACGCAGCCCUCACCACCCGUGGCGGUGUUCGCAAGUGCCCUUGAUCAUCACCUGUUACGGACAGUAGUUAUGGAGGCAAUUAUUGCCGAGAAGUGAGUUUGAUUGUCCAGCGAAUCGAUAAGAUGAUAUUUAUAAGUAGCAUGUUGUGUGUAAUAAGAGGGCAAGAUGUGUUGAUAUUCCGG